rnacentral:rRNA from 1 species
AACGAACGCUGGCGGCAUGCCUAACACAUGCAAGUCGAACGAGACCUUCGGGUCUAGUGGCGCACGGGUGCGUAACGCGUGGGAACCUGCCCUUAGGUUCGGAAUAACUCCCCGAAAGGGGUGCUAAUACCGGAUAAUGUCUUCGGACCAAAGAUUUAUCGCCUUUGGAUGGGCCCGCGUUGGAUUAGCUAGUUGGUAGGGUAAAAGCCUACCAAGGCGACGAUCCAUAGCUGGUCUGAGAGGAUGAUCAGCCACACUGGGACUGAGACACGACCCAGACUCCUACGGGAGGCAGCAGUGGGGAAUAUUGGACAAUGGGCGAAAGCCUGAGCCAGCAAUGCCGCGUGAGUGAUGAAGGCCUUAGGGUUGUAAAGCUCUUUUACCCGGGAUGAUAAUGACAGUACCGGGAGAAUAAGCUCCGGCUAACUCCG